GAUGAACGCUGGCGGCGUGCCUAAUACAUGCAAGUCGAGCGAACAGACGAGGAGCUUGCUCCUCUGACGUUAGCGGCGGACGGGUGAGUAACACGUGGAUAACCUACCUAUAAGACUGGGAUAACUUCGGGAAACCGGAGCUAAUACCGGAUAAUAUAUUGAACCGCAUGGUUCAAUAGUGAAAGACGGUUUUGCUGUCACUUAUAGAUGGAUCCGCGCCGCAUUAGCUAGUUGGUAAGGUAACGGCUUACCAAGGCAACGAUGCGUAGCCGACCUGAGAGGGUGAUCGGCCACACUGGACCUGAGACACGGUCCAGACUCCUACGGGAGGCAGCAGUAGGGAAUCUUCCGCAAUGGGCGAAAGCUUGACGGAGCAACGCCGCGUGAGUGAUGAAGGUCUUCGGAUCGUAAAACUCUGUUAUUAGGGAAGAACAAAUGUGUAAGUAACUAUGCACGACUUGACGGUAACUAAUCAGAAAGCCACGGCUAACUACGUG
rnacentral:rRNA from 1 species